UGUGCCACUACACCUGGCUUAAAGACUUCCUUUAAAGCUAUAUUCAACCACAUCAAAAACAUUACCUUUUCCUCCUUCACUGAUGCUUUAAGUCUUAUAAACAUAAUGACUAUUUUAGGUUCUAUGAAGCUAUCAUCUUUUAUGUCCUAAAAAGUCAUGGUAUUCAUAACUAAGUGGGCUCUAGAUGUAUAACUUUAUGCCAGAUUGAGAGAUUGAUGUGUCUAUAAUCUCUUAUUAAUUACCUUUAUUUAUUUAUUUAUUUUUACUGGUAAACAUAUAAGGGGAAAUAUGUGGAAAUUCUUUGAAAAGUAUUAGCAUAUUUCUUUUUUAACUGUCAAUACUUGUCUGUUUUAUCAAGACCCUGGGUUGUAUUUUGGCUUGUUUGGAAGUUUGUUUCAUCAUUAUGAUCCACUUGGAGACUAAGCCAUGUAAAUUAGGCGUUUGACAGUCUGCAUAAGAGGGAUGCCAUUGGGUGAAUCAUUAGCUCUUAUUAUGAAAUUACAGUCCUAUCAUCUGAAGGGUUAGAUACCUUGUGGUGUCAAGAUGGCUAUCAGCAGACCUUAGAAGGGGAGGAGGAGGGAGCUGUGGCUUUUUUUUUUUUUUUUUUUUUUUAAUUGUUUUUUUGAGACGGAUUCUCUGUGUAGCCCUGGCUGUCCUGGAACUCACUUUGUAGACCAGGCUGGCCUUGAACUCAGAAAUCCGCCUGCCUCUGCCUCCNAAGUGCUGGGAUUAAAGAGGUGCGCCACCACUGCCCAGCUGGGGCCUUGGCUUUUAUGACUCUUUCUUUAGAGCCAGAAAUUUUCUUUGCUAAAAUCCCUCAGAAACUGUCUUGUUGAACCUCAGUGGCCAGAGUUGUCAUGGCUAUGACCAUUGCUUAGGAGGACAUCAUUGACCCUGUAGGGAUGGAGGGCUGUGGUCAGGGUUGUAAGUGGCCUGCUAAAUAAUUUGCAAGGAGUAGAUACUAGGAGACUAGUUGAAGUAUUCUUUGUAAAGGGUCGUUGAGAGCACCACUUUGUUCAUUCAUUUUUUCAUCAUAUAUAUGGUCAAAUAUAAGAUUAAAAAAUAAAGUUUAUUUCUCUUUAUGUGAGUGUAUGUGUGCACAGAUUGGUGCCUAUAGAAGUCAGAAGAGGGCUGGGAGUCCCCUGGAGCUGGAGUUCCAGGUGCUUGUGAGCCACCUGGCCUGGAUGCUACUGGAACUGACCUUGAAUCCUGCAAGAGCAACAAAUGCUCUUAGUUGGGGACUCAUUUCUCUAGUUCCCAGAGAGAAGUCACUAACUAACUGUUUUGGUUCAUUUGGAUUUGAUUGGUUAGUUGGUGAACUAUAGCUUGACAUGCCGUCUCUUCAUCUAGUCUGUUGCUGUCUGCACUUGUUUCAAGGCAUUUUAUUCUUAUUUCUGAACACAACACAUUUUAGAAUACUGCAAAAUAAGUUAGUUUUGUUUUGAGUCUCUACAGAUUUGAAGCUUGCUCUGAGAGAACUGAUGUUGGGUCUCUGUUCUGCCCUGGUUAAUAGAGUUGUUUCUGGUAAUGUCUUCAUGUUGGCUUUGGCCUCUGUUUUUCAAAUGGAGACUUUCCUGGCAAGACAAUCUUCCAGUAGCUUGUAUUCCAGAGCACAGUGCCAUGGUUUAUAUCUUAAUGCUGUUCUUGGUGGCUCUCCAAGCCUUUGCCACCCUUCUGCUCCCCCACUUUCCCACAGAGGCAGGGAAGUAGAGAGAGCAGAGACAGCCUUGCUGGAGUUCUAAUAACAAAACUUAUGCUCCUUUGCUGACAGCACUUUCUCCAAAGAGACCGGACAUUUCACAGAAAUGAAAACUAACUCUUCCUUAGUCAAAGAUGCCUUCUCUAAGGCUUUCUUUUUUGGCUCCAGGAUUCUGCUCUCUCUGUGUUGUGCCCUUCCAUCUCCGUUGCUAACUGUAAGAAGUAGCAGCGGCGGCAGCAGCUAAUAUUUAUGGAGUGUUUACUUGAAGUCAAGCACAAGUCUGUAGAUUAAAAAAAAAGUACGAGUUUCUUGCUUGUUUGUUUGUUUGUUUGUUUUUUGUUUUCGAGACAGGGUUUCUCUGUGUAGCCCUGGCUGUCCUGGAACUCACUUUGUAGACCAGGCUGGCCUUGAACUCAGAAGUCCACCUGCCUCUGCCUCUCGAGUGCUGGGAUUAAAGGCAUGCGCCACCACGCCUGGUGGACGAGGUUCUUAAGUCUUACAGAAGUCUUAUGGUAUAGGAAGUGCUACUCUCUUGAAGAAAUUAAAAGCCUAGGGAAAUGAAGACAUUUGUCUAUAGUACUGUCCCCAUGCUCGGAGUUUAAUCACUGUCCCAGUGCUCUGGCCUGGUUUUAUAACUCGAGGGCACAGAGUGUUAAUGAUAUGUGCUACAGGUCAUCUAAAACUCGAAUCCUGUGUUUUCUGAAAUUAAUAAAUUCAUUAUAAUUCCUCUUAAAGCAAUUACCACACUUUUCCUGGUACAAUUCUUUUUAUAGACUGAGAAGAUUGGAUUCCCUCUCUUCAUUUAUAAGACUUAUGUCUUCAAAUUAAAUGCUUUUGAUCUAACACUUGUAGUUAUUAGCAGUUUCAAACAUAUCCUUAGUAAACUUUGUUUCCUUUAUUUCUGUAUUAUCUGGAUUAUUUCUCUGAGGAUCAAGUCCCUUUGCUUCAGGGCUUUUUUUUUUUUUUUUUUUUUUUUUUUUUUUUUUUUUAAUCUUAUUUUACUUUGAUGAGAUCAUCCAACUUGGUAUUGAAUUAUCUACUUCUUAAAUCUCCAACUCAUGUUAAUAAUUUGACAGCAUUCAUUUUCUUAAAUCAGAAUCUUAAGUUGAAUAAUUUUUAGUUUCCCCUGUAUCGUGUAUAAUAAGGCAUUUAUUAGCCUGCAUUUCACUAUUUUUUCUCGAUAGUGUGAUGAUAUAGUUUGCUGCAUAUAGCAUUUUGCGACUCACUGUGUUCAUAAAGAGUUUAAUAGAGUCAUGUAUAGCUAUAGAGGUAGCUUGAUUAAGUGUCUGUUUACCUUCUAGUAAAUUCUCCAUGAGCCACAUUAUUUAUUUUCCUAAGAGAAAGCUCACCACAGACUCUGCCAUCCUGAGUGAAUACAGGAUGAAAAAGUGUAUCAAUUGGAUGUAGGCUAGGGCUGGCCAUUGGACCACAUGCUGAGUCAGUUAAUUCAGAGACCUACUUGCAGAAGUUAUUUUAAACAACUGUGCUUGUAGAGCAAUUUUAAACACAAACUGGGUAUGACAGUACAGGAGCACUAGUGAAUGAAGAAAGAAAGAAAGAAAUGCAAAGGAAACAAAAAUGGCUGCUCUUGGGUUUCGGCACC
ensembl:processed_transcript Gm37423 predicted gene, 37423